rnacentral:antisense_RNA from 1 species
GGGUGCUUGAGGCUAUCUGUCUCAGGCAUUUGCAGGAUGGCAGAUAGAGAAAAGCCCCGAGUGAUUUUUCAAUCAACCCGAGGCCCCCUAUAUGUCAGCACAUGUAGAGUGCCUCUUACAGACCGUAAGGUCAAGGAAAAGAGCGCGAUG